rnacentral:misc_RNA from 1 species
ACACCCUCAAGCUCCGCUUGGUGUUGGGCGUCUGUCCCCGCUACCUGCGCGGGACUCGCCCCAAAGACAUUGGCAGCGGCUUCGCCGGCUUCUUGCGCAGCACUUUGCGCUCCAUGAGGCUUUUGGCGGGCUCGCGUCCAUCAAGAACCCCCCA